UAGUUAUUGUGAUAUUGGCCUGGUUCACUCAGACCAAGUGAUCACUAAGAUAUACUAUUGUUUUUGUGUGUCGAUUUUGUGUUUGAUUGAGCCGUGCCAAUAUCUUAAUACUAUUU
rfam:Cicer arietinum chromosome Ca7, whole genome shotgun sequence.